GACGAACGCUGGCGGCGUGCUUAACACAUGCAAGUCGAACGGUAAGGCCCCUUCGGGGGUACUCGAGCGGCGAACGGGUGAGUAACACGUACGCAAGCUGACCUUGACUUUGGGAUACCAGCAGGAAACAGAUGCCAAUACCAAAUACGACCUCUUCACUCAUGGGUUGAGGUGGAAAGCUACGGCGGUCAGGGCUGGGCUCGCGGCCUAUCAGCUUGUUGGUGAGGCAAUGGCUCACCAUGGCUUCGACGGGUAGCCGGCCUGAGAGGGCGACCGGACACACUGGGACUGAGAUACGGCCCAGACUGCUACGGGCGGCAGCAGUGGGGAAUAUUGCGCAAUGGGCGCAAGCCUGAUGCAGAGACGCCGCGUGCGGGAUGACGGCCUUCGGGUUGUAAACCGCUUUCAGUAGAGACGAAGCUAACGUGACGGUACCUACAGAAGAAGGACCGGCUAACUACGUG
rnacentral:rRNA from 1 species